rnacentral:ncRNA from 2 species
GCUUCAACAAUGGGGUGCUACAAAUUAACGGUGGCUGAGAUGAUACCCAGGAUAUAUUCCACACCUGAUCCGGAUAAUGCCGGCGUAGGGAUUGCUUACUGAUCAUCU